rnacentral:rRNA from 1 species
UACGUAGGGGGCAAGCGUUGUCCGGAAUCAUUGGGCGUAAAGAGCGUGUAGGCGGUCCGGUAAGUCGGUUGUGAAAGUCCAGGGCUCAACCCUGGGAUGCCGAUCGAUACUGCCGGACUAGAGUCCGGAAGAGGCGAGUGGAAUUCCCGGUGUAGCGGUGAAAUGCGCAGAUAUCGGGAGGAACACCAAUGGCGAAGGCAGCUCGCUGGGACGGUACUGACGCUGAGACGCGAAAGCGUGGGGAGCAAACAGG